rnacentral:rRNA from 1 species
AUGAAUCGGUUGGGCGGCAGUGGCAUUGGCGGCGCCGAUGUGCCACCGCUGCAGCAUCAGCGGAGGGAGGAUGUGAUGGGCCUUGGCGAUCCCAUGCUAGUGACGCUGCGCAACAAUUACCGCCAGAGGAUAAUGGAGCAUGCACGAUGGGAGGUAACUGCGAGAUUAUAUGAAGGAAAGAGGGUACCUGCUGACUGGCAGCGGGGGCUGCCGGAACUUGCUAGGCGGGUCGAGAAAGUCUUGUUUGAGAAACACCCAAACAAGUGGGAGUACUACAACAUGACGAAUGGACCAGUUGAGCCACAUUUCGAGUUUGCUGUGACCUCGCUUGCUCAGAUUCAGAGGCAGAGAGCAUCUUCCACUGCGUAUGCUCAUGGGGGCAUGAUACCGGCACCUGGUGUCACGCAAGGGGAUACCUCCAACGAGCUUGUGAACACACUACUAUCUCUGGGGAUAAACUCUAGCGAUGACCUCUCAAAAGUGUCGAACAGCAACUUGGCAAUCCGUGCACCUGUUAAGAAGGAGGUCUCAGAGGAACCAAAGUUCAGCUGUCCAUUCUGCUUCGACGAGCUGGUCGAUGCGUCAUCAACUAUCUGCGGCCACAUCUUCUGCCACAAGUGCAUCAAGUUCUCCGUCCAGGCUCAGAACAGGUGCCCUGCCUGCUGGAGGGGACUCACCAUGAACAGCUUCCACCGCGUCUACCUCCCUGCUACCAUGGACUAA